GCUUCAGGUGUUUGUUUGACAACAAGGAGCGCGUGAUGACAGACACCAAAACAAAACACGUGCAGUUUGAUUUAAAUACACAAUUUACAGAUGACAGCUUAGCGACAGACUCUUAAUGUGUUUAAACAGCACAUAUUCCAGCUCAACAGCAAAUUAAACAAGUGGAAUCUGCGAUAAAGAGGAGGAAUGGAGUGAAGAGACUCACCUAAUGAAGGUUGUGCUUGGACUGUACAGCCAACAGAAUCAGAGCUCUGGACAUUUGACAGCCAUGGACUGUAAGGAUGGACAUCUGCUGCUGGACAGAAUAAGGGAUGUGUUUGGAGCAUCACACUCAUCCGGCAGAAGCAUGUGGACAGACAUUGACAGUAAUGAUGGUCAUCUGCUGAUGGACAGAUAUGACUGAAUCUUUCUCUGUGUCUCAGAUGAGGAGGAUGUGAAGCUCAGGACGGGUCAUCAUAUCAACACAUCAAUCUACAGACAAACAUCACAUUUGAAUAAAGAUUUAAUGAUGAAAACCUGA